rfam:Sus scrofa chromosome 6.
UCCCUGGUGGCCUAGUGGUUAAGGAUUCAGCACUGUCACUUCUGUGGCCCCGGGUUUGAUCCCUGGCCUGGGAA